rnacentral:lncRNA from 1 species
AAACUUAUAGCUUUACUAUAUAGAAUUUUGGAUGUUAUAUUUUUAUAAAUCAAUUAUUAAUUCGAAACGAGGUAUAUAAAUAAUUUAUUUUAGGUUUAUUGAGAAAUAGUAGGCAUUGCGUCUAGCGGAAGAUUCGGUCUCUUGGUAUUAUUUUUAGUUUAUUAUAUAUUAUCUACUGUAUUGAAUAUUUAAUGCAUUUCUUUUUCUAUUGUCGAUGAAAUAAAGAAAUUAUAAUGCAAUAAUAAUAAGUUAGAUACAAGUAGGAGGAGUGAACAAGAGAAGAUAGUUUCAUUGAACUGUGGGCACUAUCUAGAGCAGUGGUUCUCAACCUUCCUAAUGGCGCGACCCUUUAAUACAGUUCCUCAUGUUGUGGU